GAAAGUGCCUAAAGACGAGCUCGCGCCUGAUUAGCUAGUUGGUGGGGUAAAGGCCUACCAAGGCGGCGAUCAGUAGCUGGUUUGAGAGAAUGAUCAGCCACACUGGAACUGAGACACGGUCCAGACUCCUGCGGGAGGCAGCAGUGGGGAAUUUUCCGCAAUGGGCGAAAGCCUGACGGAGCAAUACCGCGUGAGGGAUUAAGGCCUGUGGGUUGUAAACCUCUUUUCUCAAGGAAGAAUCAAUGACGGUACUUGAGGAAUAAGCAUCGGCUAACUCCGUGCCAGCAGCCGCGGUAAUACGGGGGAUGCAAGCGUUAUCCGGAAUUAUUGGGCGUAAAGCGUCUGUAGGUUGUUUAAUAAGUCUGUUGUUAAAGACUGGGGCUUAACCCCAGGAAAGCAAUAGAAACUGUUAGGCUAGAGUAUGGUAGAGGUAGAGGGAAUUCCUAGUGUAGCGGUGAAAUGCGUAGAUAUUAGGAAGAACACCGGUGGCGAAAGCGCUCUGCUGGGCCAUAACUGACACUCAGAGACGAAAGCUAGGGUAGCAAAUGGGAUUAGAUACCCCAGUAGUCCUAGCCGUAAACGAUGGAUACUAGAUGUUGCGUAACUCGAUUAUGCAGUGUUCUAGCUAACGCGUUAAGUAUCCCGCCUGGGGAGUACACUCGCAAGGGUGAAACUCAAAGGAAUUGACGGGGGCCCGCACAAGCGGUGGAGCAUGUGGUUUAAUUUGAUGCAACGCGAAGAACCUUACCAAGGCUUGACAUGUCACGAAUCUUUUUGAGAAGAAAGAGUGCCCUCGGGAACGUGAACACAGGUGGUGCAUGGCUGUCGUCAGCUCGUGUCGUGAGAUGUUGGGUUAAGUCCCGCAACGAGCGCAACCCUUGUCUUUAGUUACCAUCAUUUAGUUGGGGACUCUAGAGAGACUGCCGGUGACAAACCGGAGGAAGGUGAGGACGACGUCAAGUCAGCAUGCCCCUUAUGCCUUGGGCUACACACGUGCUACAAUGGCUAAGACAAAGAGCAGCAAGCUUGUGAAAGUUAGCAAAUCUCGUAAACUU
rnacentral:rRNA from 1 species